rfam:Gossypium hirsutum cultivar TM-1 unplaced genomic scaffold scaffold120.1, whole genome shotgun sequence
AAUUAAAAAUUUUAUUCAUUUGUACUGAUAAAAUCUAGUGUGGUUGACGGAAUAGUUAGACAAUAACACCUAAUGUGCCAUGUUUACUUCAUGCUGAUGUAUAAAGAUCAAUUUUUAUCCAUAGAUAUGGAUGGAGUUUUUAAUA